UGCCAGCCGCCGCGGUAAUACGGAGGGGGUUAGCGUUGUUCGGAAUUACUGGGCGUAAAGCGUACGUAGGCGGAUUAGUCAGUCAGAGAUGAAAUCCCAGGGCUCAACCCUGGAACUGCCUUUGAUACUGCUAGUCUUGAGUCCCGGAGAGGAGAGCAGAAUUCCAAGUGUAGAGGUGAAAUUCGUAGAUAUUUGGAGGAGCACCAGUGGCGAAGGCGGCUCACUGGCUCGAUACUGACGCUGAGGUACGAAAGUGUGGGGAGCAAACAGGAUUAGAUA
rnacentral:rRNA from 1 species